UGACAGAGCAUGAAGUGAGGCCAUUUCUUCACUUUAAGACGUGGAGACUGAGCCUCAGAGAAGCCACACGAUGAGCCUGGAGCCUCACGACCAAGAAGUAACUGUAACUGCAGGAUUCAAACCUGGGACAGCACAGCCCACGCCUGGCGAUAUUCUCACCGACAUCCUGGAUUUUGGUAAUAGUGCCUAGAGAGUGGCUGUUUUCGCUGACUGUGUCCCACGUCAACUGGCCUAGUGAGGCUGACUCCUGUCUUAUUGCUGCUUUGGAUCAAGGUUAAAGGUCGCCAAUCUCUGUUUGCGAUAAUGCAGAGCAGAUGUUCCUUAGGAUUAAAGUCAUCAGAUUUUAGCUUGGAAUAUACAAAAACUAUUCUGGAGAGAGGAUAUGCAAGAGGCGGGGGCGAUUGUGCCCAACCAUGAUCAGAUUCAGAAUUUGUUCUGCCAGGGCUGUGAAUCAACCAAUAGCCACCUAGCGAGCACUGUCUGGUUCUCUGCAGGAUUCAGAGACAACAUCCUAUUUUUGAGGAUAAAACGAAGGCACUAAAAGAGAACUAUAUGUGGAAAUUGUGCCUUCACAAAGCUUGAGGACAUCUGCGGACACCAAGCUGUAUGCCAGGGGCACACCAUCAAGUCUCGGAUGCUUAAAAUGGUGGCUCUGGAUGUCCAGAAGUGGUGACAUCAUAGACCCUGUGGUCGGGCCAGGAAUAUAACAGGGGCUCAAACACAGUUGUUAUUGACGCUUUCUCUGUUCAGCAUGAACCUCCGCAGUAAAGCAAGCUGAGACUGCCUGGCAGGUUUGCUUCUGGCUGCUCUGAGGUUGGUAGCAGCCAAGGCCCAGGAGGGCCCAGGGACUGUGUCUGCUCUCUGAGCCUUAGGGGUGAUUGGAGUGUUGCCGUCACGUGCGUGGCAUGGUGGAGUGGGAGCUGGGUGUCUGCCCCUCCAGCCAGUACUUAAGGCCAAACCUGGAAAGCGUGUGAAACAGGAAGCUGGUCUUGGGCUCCAUCUCCUUCUCCUGCCCCACCUCUCUCCUGCGGCCCAGCGCAGCUGUGAGGUCUCUAUCCACUCCUUUCCAGGCAGCGAGCCACGUGAGGGCUCAUCACGGAGGGCAAUGGCAUCCGUCAUUUAGAGGGGACUCUCAGAAGCCUACAAUUCUUUGACGUCCACGGAGGCUUCCUGAACGGUAGAACUCUGGAUGCCAUGAUACGAUGGUCAGUAACCUUCAUGUUGUCCUUCAGAGGUGGAACUCAGACUGCUUCUGCUGAUACGAACACAACAGCCCAAGUCCUCAUGGCUGGAGUGCCCCGUGUGUCCACAAAGUCACCUGUGGAAAUCUCAAUAUCUCACCAAGGUGAAUGGCGUCAGGGUCUGCAGUAACAUCACUUAAAUGUGCGUCCAGAAUUCCGAAGCUUUACUUUCUGGUCUGCAAGUGUGCUGUGA
rnacentral:lncRNA from 1 species